ensembl:snoRNA SNORA70 Small nucleolar RNA SNORA70
UUCCAAAGUUUUAUAUUGAUUAAGGACCUCUAUUUUGCCAGUGUGCCAUGGCUGCAAACAGUAGCCUCCUCGGUAGUGGAUGCAGACUGUUGAUUGUAUGGGUUGCCCUAAGGGACCUUGGAGACAGCC